rnacentral:rRNA from 1 species
UAGCUAUGUAUGGACGGGAUAAGUGCUGAAAGCAUCUAAGCAUGAAGCCCCCCUCAAGAUGAGAUUUCCCAACUUCGGUUAUAAGAUCCCUCAAAGAUGAUGAGGUUAAUAGGUUCGAGGUGGAAGCGUGGUGACACGUGGAGCUGACGAAUACUAAUCGAUUGAAGACUUAAUCAAUUU